AGAGUUUGAUCCUGGCUCAGAGUUAACGCUGGCAUCGUGCAUAACACAUGCAAGUCGAACGGGACUUUGAUUUGUAGCAAUACAGAUUAAAGUUUAGUGGCAGACGGGUGAGUAAUGUAUAAGGAAUCCACCUUUAAGUGGGGAAUAACAAUCCGAAAGGGUUGCUAAUACCCCAUAAUAUCCUUAAGUGGCAUCACAUAGGGAUUAAAGAUUUAUCGCUUGAAGACGACCUUAUAUUCUAUCAGCUAGUUGGCAGUGUAACGGACUACCAAGGCGACGACGGAUAGCCGGCCUGAAAGGGCGACCGGCCACAAGGGCACUGAGACACGGGCCCUACUCCUACGGGAGGCAGCAGUGGGGAAUUUUGGACAAUGGGCGCAAGCCUGAUCCAGCAACGAUGCGUGGAGGAUGAAGGUUUUCGGAUUGUAAACUCCUUUUAAGGGGGACGAAACAAAUGACGGUACCCCUUGAAUAAGCCACGGCUAACUACGUGCCAGCAGCCGCGGUAAGACGUAGGUGGCAAGCGUUACUCGGAAUUACUAGGCGUAAAGCGCGCGUAGGCGGGAUGUUAAGUCUGUUGUGUAAUCUCUGGGCUCAACCCAGAAACUGCAACGGAAACUGGCGUUCUUGAGUGAGGCAGAGGAAAUCGGAAUUCCUAGUGUAGCAGUGAAAUGCGUAGAUAUUAGGAGGAACACCGGUGGCGAAGGCGGAUUUCUGGGCCUUUACUGACGCUAAAGUGCGAAAGCUAGGGGAGCAAACGGGAUUAGAUACCCCGGUAGUCCUAGCCGUAAACGAUGAUAACUAGGUGUGGGAGGUAUCGACCCCUUCCGUGCCGCCGCUAACGCAUUAAGUUAUCCGCCUGGGGAGUACGGCCGCAAGGUUAAAACUCAAAGGAAUUGACGGGGGCCCGCACAAGCGGUGGAUUAUGUGGUUUAAUU
rnacentral:rRNA from 1 species